UAGAAUUAAGAAAAAAACAAACUCAGAAGAAUCUAACACCACAGUUUAAGACUUUUAUAAUGACUACAUUCCUGCAAAUAAAGACAUUAAAAUGCAGUUGAACUCAGAUGAAAGGCAAUGAACAAUAUAGGUUCAAAAAAACUGAUGAUGCAGCACAACUUUCUCUUUUCAAAAAAGAGGUGGCAGGAUGGUGGUGGCAAAUAGGUGCUGAAUAUUAUACAUGCUGUCAGAGGACAACAUCUGGUCUUGAAGGCAGGAAGAAACCAAGAGGGAUUGCAGAAACUGAAGGAGUCUAUGCAUUGUCUUACACUUGGUCUUGGGAAGCAGUAGAAUUCAGUGCCUGGCUCUACUCCUAACUCUCCAUGUAAUUUUGGACCUUUGAUAUCACGUCAUGCCAUGGAGAUGAUCCUGGAUUCUUGAAGACUAUUUCAAUGAAGGGGAUGGUUUCAGAACAGCUUGAAGACCUGAAUAAACUAUUGAAAAGUAUAAUGUACAGAACCAAGAGAGCAAUCUACCAGUAAUAGCAACAUGGUAGAGAUAACCAGCUGUGAAAAGCUUAGUAACUCUGAUCAAUUCAAUAAGUCACCGUAACUCCAAAGGACUUAUGAUAUAAAAUGUUAUCCAUCUCCAGAUAAAGAACUAAUGA